AAUCGCUAUAGCUCAGUGGCAGAGCCCCUGCUUUGAAUGCAGAAGGUCUUUGAUUCAGUCCCUGAUAGCAUCU